AGAGUUUGAUCCUGGCUCAGGACGAACGCUGGCGGCGUGCCUAAUACAUGCAAGUCGAGCGCGGGAAGCGAACGGAACUCUUCGGAGGGAAGUUCGUGGAACGAGCGGCGGACGGGUGAGUAACACGUAGGCAACCUGCCUGUAAGACUGGGAUAACUCGCGGAAACGCGAGCUAAUACCGGAUAACACUUUCUAUCACCUGAUGGAAAGUUGAAAGGCGGCUUUUGCUGUCACUUACAGAUGGGCCUGCGGCGCAUUAGCUAGUUGGUGAGGUAACGGCUCACCAAGGCGACGAUGCGUAGCCGACCUGAGAGGGUGAUCGGCCACACUGGGACUGAGACACGGCCCAGACUCCUACGGGAGGCAGCAGUAGGGAAUCUUCCGCAAUGGACGAAAGUCUGACGGAGCAACGCCGCGUGAGUGAUGAAGGUUUUCGGAUCGUAAAACUCUGUUGUCAGGGAAGAACAAGUACGAUAGUAACUGAUCGUACCUUGACGGUACCUGACCAGAAAGCCACGGCUAACUACGUGCCAGCAGCCGCGGUAAUACGUAGGUGGCAAGCGUUGUCCGGGAAUUAUUGGGCGUAAAGCGCUCGCAGGCGGUUCUUUAAGUCUGAUGUGAAAUCUUGCGGCUCAACCGCAAACGUGCAUUGGAAACUGGAGGACUUGAGUGCAGAAGAGGAGAGUGGAAUUCCACGUGUAGCGGUGAAAUGCGUAGAGAUGUGGAGGAACACCAGUGGCGAAGGCGACUCUCUGGUCUGUAACUGACGCUGAGGAGCGAAAGCGUGGGGAGCGAACAGGAUUAGAUACCCUGGUAGUCCACGCCGUAAACGAUGAGUGCUAGGUGUUAGGGGGUUUCCGCCCCUUUAGUGCUGAAGUUAAACGCAUUAAGCACUCCGCCUGGGGAGUACGGCCGCAAGGCUGAAACUCAAAAGAAUUGACGGGGACCCGCACAAGCGGUGGAGCAUGUGGUUUAAUUCGAAGCAACGCGAAGAACCUUACCAGGUCUUGACAUCCUUUGACCGCUCUAGAGAU
rnacentral:rRNA from 1 species